GAGAGUUUGAUCCUGGCUCAGAGCGAACGCUGGCGGCAUGCUUAACACAUGCAAGUCGA
rnacentral:rRNA from 1 species